UACGGAGGGUGCAAGCGUUAUCCGGAUUCACUGGGUUUAAAGGGUGCGUAGGCGGUUAUGUAAGACAGGUGUGAAAUCCCCGGGCUUAACCUGGGAACUGCAUUUGUGACUGCAUAGCUAGAGUACGGUAGAGGGGGAUGGAAUUCCGCGUGUAGCAGUGAAAUGCGUAGAUAUGCGGAGGAACACCGAUGGCGAAGGCAAUCCCCUGGACCUGUACUGACGCUCAUGCACGAAAGCGUGGGGAGCAAACAGG
rnacentral:rRNA from 1 species